rnacentral:rRNA from 1 species
GAGUGAACCGCGUGGCGGCGUGCCUAACACAUGCAAGUCGAACGGACGAUUUUUGGAAGUUACGUUCGGAACUGGAAUCUAAAUGUUAGUGGCGGACGGGUGAGUAACGCGUGAGCAAUCUGCCUUUCAGAGGGGGAUAACAGCCGGAAACGGCUGCUAAUACCGCAUAAUGCAUCGGAUUCGCAUGUUUCUGAUGCCAAAGAUUUUAUCGCUGAAAGAUGAGCUCGCGUCUGAUUAGCUAGUUGGUGAGAUAACAGCCCACCAGGGCGACGAUCAGUAGCCGACCUGAGAGGGUGAUCGGCCACAUUGGGACUGAGACACGGCCCAA